rnacentral:rRNA from 1 species
GACGAACGCUGGCGGCGUGCUUAACACAUGCAAGUCGAGCGGUAAGGCCCUUUCGGGGGUACACGAGCGGCGAACGGGUGAGUAACACGUGGGUGACCUGCCCUCAGCUCUGGGAUAAGCCUGGGAAACUGGGUCUAAUACUGGANAUGACUCCACGGUGCAUGUCGUGGGGUGGAAAGCCUUGUGCGGCUGAGGAUGGGCCCGCGGCCUAUCAGCUUGUUGGUGGGGUGAUGGCCUACCAAGGCGACGACGGGUAGCCGGCCUGAGAGGGCGACCGGCCACACUGGGACUGAGACACGGCCCAGACUCCUACGGGAGGCAGCAGUGGGGAAUCUUGCGCAAUGGGCGAAAGCCUGACGCAGCGACGCCGCGU